rnacentral:lncRNA from 1 species
AAACCCUAAACACCCAUUCUCAUCAGCACAAUUCUGACGGUGGGAGUUCCAAUUGAUGCGAUUCCGACACCGAAAUUCUGAUCGGCGAGAUUCUGACACCGGCCACUCUCAUACGCCACUGUCAGUGGUGCGUUUUCCUUUAUCUGUUGUUUAUUUUUGAGUGCUCCUUUACUCUAUUACAUGCAAUUUUUCAUUUUCUUCCUUUUCAUUCAUAAAAUGUUGGGGCUUUUGUUUAGAAUAAAUUGAUGGGUGAUGGAUCAUGCGUGAUUUAUUUGCUUGUAACCAUUGUUUUUAUAGUAGUUUUUAUUUUUGAAAUUGUUUUUAGUAGACAUGCACAGCCCCUGUUUGAUGAAAUUCCCCUAAUAAAAAUCCAAUUCAAACUUCUUUGCGCAGAGUUCAUGCCCUGAUAUUUUAACAAGUUUCAAUUUUGUUUAUAUUUACCUGUGGAAUUUGUAAUAUAUAGUAUGCACUUAUGAGUGGUAUAGGUUGUUUUCUUAAAGUUUGUGUUUAUGAUAUAUAUUUUAUGGGUUGUGUUCAUUUGUCUCAAAUUCUGUAAUUUUGAUUUGAGUUUCCAGUUCUACAAGACAAUAAAUAAUAAAAUGCAUGCCUCCGUUAUGAAAUACUAUGCUUCAGUAAACAAAGGGAAGUUUGUCAAAUUCUGGAUUUCAAGUUGAUGUUUUGGCACAGUCAAGAGAAGGGGGGAAGUGUUGCAAUUGCAAUUGUGUAGGUCUUAUCCGAUUUCUUUGGGAUGGGCCAAAAGAAUAGUACAGGAAAUAUCAAAGCACGUAGCAAAUUUGAGAUUGUGAGGCUAAAUGCAACUGCAGUUUGUACCUAAUGGUUGUUUAGUUGAAUUUCUUUGUUUCCUAGUCUGUUUUGUCUUUUGUUGCUUUAUUGACUUGCUUGUAAUUGUGUCUAUUCGUGG